GUUUAUAUAGUUUAUUUAAAACCUUACAUUUUCAUUGUAAAAAUAAAACAUUUGUUUUUAUAAAUU
rnacentral:tRNA from 1 species